UACGUAGGGUGCGAGCGUUGCCCCGGAUUUAUUGGGCGUAAAGGGCGCGUAGGCGGCCACGCACGUCCGUUGUGAAAUCGCCCGGCUCAACUGGGCGGGGUCAGCGGAUACGGUGUGGCUCGAGCAAGCUAGGGGGCAAUGGAAUUCCCGGUGUAGUGGUGGAAUGCGUAGAUAUCGGGGAGGAACACCAGUGGCGAAGGCGGUUGCCUGGAGCUUUGCUGACGCUGAGGCGCGAAAGCGUGGGUAGCAAACGAGG
rnacentral:rRNA from 1 species